UACGUAGGGUGCGAGCGUUGUCCGGAAUGAUUGGGCGUAAAGCGUCCGCAGGUGGCUGUGUAAGUCUGCUGUUAAAGAGUGAGGCUCAACCUCAUAAAGGCAGUGGAAACUACAUGGCUAGAGUGCGUUCGGGGCAGAGGGAAUUCCUGGUGUAGCGGUGAAAUGCGUAGAGAUCAGGAAGAACACCGGUGGCGAAAGCGCUCUGCUAGGCCGCAACUGACACUGAGGGACGAAAGCUAGGGGAGCGAAUGGG
rnacentral:rRNA from 1 species